rnacentral:hammerhead_ribozyme from 1 species
AUCCGCCUGACGAGUUCCAAAAGAGGACGAAACGCGCGUCCUGAAU